AUCUAGUCAGUUUCAAUAGAUAAAAUGUCCAUUGACUGGUGAGUGAAUAAACAAAAUGUAUAUCCCUACAGUGGAAUGCUGUUCAGCUAUUUAAAGGAAUGAAGUACCGAUACAACUUAUUGCAGAAAGUACUGCUACAACAUGGACGAAUCUCAAAAACACUAUGCUAAAGGAGCCAGUCACAAAGCAGCACGGAGGUGAAGGAGAUUUGCACACACACAGAAAAUGUUCCGAGAAGGUGGUGAGAAGAUGAAGCAGAGAUUUGAAGAUGCUGACUUUGAAGACUUGAGUGAUACAGUCACUAGCUGCAGGAUGUUGGCACCACCAGAAGCUGAAGGAGGCAUGGACCAGCUUCUUUCCUAUAGUCUCUGAAGAUGCUGUAGCCCUGCUAAUACCUUGAUCUUGGUUCAGUGAUACUGACUUCAGACUCCUGGCCUCCAGGACUGCGAGAGAAUACAAGUCUACUGUUUUAAGUCACCACAUUUGCAGUAAUAGGAGUAAUAGGAAACUUAUUCAGGGUGUGACUGCUCAUGGCCAUGGGUGAUGAAAUGUUCUGAAACUGGAUUGUGGUGAUGGUUGCACAACUCAGUGAAUAUCCCUAAAACCACUGGAGUGCACACUCUAAGUGUGUCAAUUUUAUACUGUGUGAAUUAUAUCUCAAUAAGACUGUUAAAAAAUCUUUGUGACCUUGGGUUAAGCAAAGAUUUCUUAGAUACAACACCAAGGUAUGAUACAUAAAAAGUGAUAUAUUGGAGACUCCAUAAAAAUUUACAACCCUUGCUCUUGAAAGACACUAUUAAGAAAAUAAGAACCACAGAUUGGGAAAAAUAUUUGCAAAACACAUGUUUGAUACAAGACCUAUCAGGCUAUAUGAAGAGUCCUCAAACUCAAUAAGAAGAAAACAAACAAAUAAAAAAUGAAGAUUUGAACAGACUCUAUCUCAAAGCAGAUAUAUUGAUGGCAAAUAGGUACAACAAAAGAUACUCAGUAUCAUUAGUUAUUAGAGAAAUGCAAAAUAAAACCACAACAAAUACUACUACAUGCUAUUAGAAUGGGGCGCGGGGAGAACAACACUUGAUUAUAUCAUAAUGCUAUGAAGGAUAGGGGAGCAACUGGAAGAUCACCGGUAGAAAUGCAGAAUGGUGCAGCCACAUUGGGAAACAAUUAGUUUUUUUAAAAAUUAAAUACAAUCUUACAAUAGAACCCAGGAAUCCUGCUCUAGGUAUUUGCCCAAUUGAAACAUAAGCCCUAUUUCACAAAACCCUGUGUGUAAAUAUUUGUAGUAGUUUUAUUUGGAAUAAUCCCAAACUGGAAACCAAAUCUUAUUAUCCCUGAACUGGGAGGGAUAUGCAUAAGCAAUUAUGAUACAUCCAUACAGUAGGAUCCUGCUUUGCAAUAAAAAGAAACAAAGUAUUGAUAUGUUCAACAACACACAACAUCUCAAGUGCCUUAUACGAAGUGAAAGAAGCCAACUAAUAGGCUACACAUUGGAGGAAAAGAAACCCUCCAACUCUGUUGGUGGGAAUGUAAGUUGGUGCAGCCACAAUGGAAAAUGGUAUGGAAGUUCCUCAGAAAACUAAAUAUAGAGUUGUUAUAUGAUCCAGCAAUGCCACUCCUAGGCAUAUAUGUGGACAAAGCUGUAAUUCAAAAAGAUACACGCACUCCUAUGUUCAUGAGCAUCCCUAUUCACAAUAGCCAAGACAUGGAAGCAACCUAAAUGUCAAUUAUCAGAUGAAUGGAUAAAGGAGAUGAGAUACAUAUAUAAAUAGAAUACUACUCAAUUUAAAAAGAAUGAAAUAACGCCAUUUUCAGGAACACAGAUGGAACCAGAGAUUAUUAUGCUAAGUGAAAUCAAUCAGAAAGAGAAAGAUGAAUACCAUGCGAUAUCAUUUGUAUGUGGAAUCUACAAUAUGACAGAAAUUAACUUAUCAACAAAAUAGAAACAGAUUCACAGACAUGGAG
ensembl:lncRNA